rnacentral:rRNA from 1 species
CCAUGAAGUCGGAAUCGCUAGUAAUCGUGGAUCAGAAUGCCACGGUGAAUACGUUCCCGGGCCUUGUACACACCGCCCGUCACACCAUGGGAGUGGGUUGCAAAAGAAGUAGGUAGCUUAACCUUCGAGGGUCAGCUCCAGGAACCAUUCCGGGUCAGCAACCAUAUCAGCCGGCUUUGUCGAAUAUUUCAGGGUUUCAGCAACGGCACCGCGCACCAGUUCGGCAGUGGCACAUGCCAGCGUCUGGCCAUCUUU